CCUACGGGACGCAGCAGUGAGGAAUAUUGGUCAAUGGGCGCGAGCCUGAACCAGCCAAGUCGCGUGAGGGAAGACGGUCCUAUGGAUUGUAAACCUCUUUUGUCGGGGAGCAAAAGACGCCACGCGUGGCGUUCCGAGAGUACCCGAAGAAAAAGCAUCGGCUAACUCCGUGCCAGCAGCCGCGGUAAUACGGAGGAUGCGAGCGUUAUCCGGAUUUAUUGGGUUUAAAGGGUGCGCAGGCGGAGGUGCAAGUCAGCGGUCAAAUUGCGGGGCUCAACCCCGUACUGCCGUUGAAACUGCAUCCC
rnacentral:rRNA from 1 species